rnacentral:lncRNA from 1 species
CGGCUGCCGGGCGGAGACGCUCCUCACUUCCCAGACAGGCACCGAUAAUACGCUGUCAUGUGUACAGUAACAUUCAAGAUGGAACUGGAGGAGCAGGGAACAUAGAGUGAUGGGGAAGAAAAGAGGGAAUCCCGAGCAGAGAAAACUGGGAAAAGAACUAGAGGGAAUGUAAAUGGAAAGGCUAGAGCUACAGAGGCAUCUCGAUCUAUGAGAAAAAGGCCACGAGAAUCAUAGGGGCCUCACUCAGCCUUGUUAUCCCUGAGCUCCUGAAUCAGUGCCAGAAACCACCUGUGGAGUCCUAAUAAGAUAACUCCUUUUAGAAGAAAAUUCAAGAUCUGGCAACACUGUGCCCAAGCUUCUCUAAGGAAGAGAUUGUCAAAGUGUGGUGCCUGGACCAGCAGCAUUAGCAUCACCUGGGACCAGUUAGAAAUGAAGAUGCUCAGGCUCCAUCCCAGACCUGCUGGGGCUGGGGCCCAACAAUCUGUGUUUUAACAGGCUCCCUGUGUGACUGUGAUACGUGAUGCUCCAAGGUAAUUGGCCACUGAAGAAAGUAAAGACUGUUCUACACCUAAGAAGCAAGGACUCAAUUACAGCAUGUGUUACUGCAUUAUAUCAUUUAAAAUAUUCAAAAUUAAUGGAAGGAAUAAACACAGGCUAAAGGAUGAUUUAAAAAAAGAGUUAAAUGCUGGUUUGAAUCCUUACUUUUUAAUACCACUUUUUAAAAAGGUUAU